rnacentral:snoRNA from 1 species
GACCCAUUGUUAAGUCAAGAUGCUCUUACUCUUUCUUUAUUUCAUAAGAGUGUCUGUUACAACUUUGGAAGAUCAAAAUCCUUCUAUCAACACCCGUUUUGGGCUGUCAGACGGUGAUGUUUUGUUUGAGUUGAGUGUCGUCUGUAUGGUGGCGAUGCUCUUAGUUACGAAACUUACAUCU